GCUGGGCCUGGUGGUGCAUGCCUGUAAUUCCAGCUAGUUGGGAGGCUGUGGCAGGAAGAUUGCAAGUUCAGGGCCAGCCUGAGAAACUUAGGAAGACCCUGUCGCAA
rnacentral:sRNA from 1 species